UACGAAGGGGGCGGGCGUUGUUCGGAAUUACUGGGCGUAAAGGGCGCGUAGGCGGUCCUUCAAGUCAGGCGUGAAAGCCCCGGGCUCAACCUGGGAACCGCGCUUGAGACUGGCGGACUCGAGUUCGGGAGAGGAUGGUGGAAUUCCCAGUGUAGAGGUGAAAUUCGUAGAUAUUGGGAAGAACACCGAUGGCGAAGGCAGCCAUCUGGACCGACACUGACGCUGAGGCGCGAAAGCGUGGGGAGCAAACAGG
rnacentral:rRNA from 1 species